rnacentral:rRNA from 1 species
AUUGAACGCUGGUGGCAGGCCUAACACAUGCAAGUCGAGCGGAUGAAGGGAGCUUGCUCCUGGAUUCAGCGGCGGACGGGUGAGUAAUGCCUAGGAAUCUGCCUGGUAGUGGGGGAUAACGUCCGGAAACGGGCGCUAAUACCGCAUACGUCCUGAGGGAGAAAGUGGGGGAUCUUCGGACCUCACGCUAUCAGAUGAGCCUAGGUCGGAUUAGCUAGUUGGUGGGGUAAAGGCCUACCAAGGCGACGAUCCGUAACUGGUCUGAGAGGAUGAUCAGUCACACUGGAACUGAGACACGGUCCAGACUCCUACGGGAGGCAGCAGUGGGGAAUAUUGGACAAUGGGCGAAAGCCUGAUCCAGCCAUGCCGCGUGUGUGAAGAAGGUCUUCGGAUUGUAAAGCACUUUAAGUUGGGAGGAAGGGCAGUAAGUUAAUACCUUGCUGUUUUGACGUUACCAACAGAAUAAGCACCGGCGAACUUCGU